GACGAACCGUGCAAACGUUAUUCGGAAUCACUGGGCUUAAAGGGCGCGUAGGCGGGCAGGCAAGUCAGGGGUGAAAGCCCACGGCUCAACCGUGGAAGUGCCUUUGAUACUGCCUUUCUCGAGGGAGGUAGGGGCGUGCGGAACUUCCGGUGGAGCGGUGAAAUGCGUAGAUAUCGGAAGGAACACCGGUGGCGAAAGCGGCGCGCUGGACCUCUUCUGACGCUGAGGCGCGAAAGCCAGGGGAGCAAACGGG
rnacentral:rRNA from 1 species